rnacentral:lncRNA from 1 species
CUCAGAUUACCACAUGUUCUUUGAAACGUUUCAAUAUAUCACCUACACUUUUAAUAACUGUCUCAUGUUACCUAUUCCGUCAGUAUUAAGAGACGUUCCUUAUGUGAUGUGGCCCCCACUUCUUUUCAAUCGCUUAACAAUGGAGAGGAAUGGUUAUUUAAUUUGAGAAAGGGGGGUAUUUGGGAGAGAAAGGGGGGUAUCUAGAAUAACAUAUCUGAAAUUGAGUACGAUCCAACGGUUCAACAGUGUUGAACCCGGAAAUCGCGUAAUAUGGAAAAUCCGUUCGAGGCUCAAAUGGUAUCCAAAUUGAGAUCCGCGAAUUCCUACGCGCUCGUGACAACCUAAGGAUCGCAACAGGACACAAUGCCACUGCACUACCCUCACCCACGCGCCGCCGCACGCGCCUGCAGCUUUGGGUGUCCAAAGCGAUUACACCUCGCCGGAAAAACUCAAAACCACGGCUCCAAACUCCUAUCAUAGGUAAAACACCAUAUUUGGAACCACUUUCGUUCUUGGGCCUACCCCAAAAACUGACCGGAAGUGGCUGAACACGGAGGCCGAAACUCGGUCGAAUUUCAAUUUGAAAGCUGGGCUAGUUACAGUCAAAAUCGAUGCAAACC